UACGUAGGGUGCAAGCGUUGUCCGGAAUUAUUGGGCGUAAAGAGCUCGUAGGCGGUCUGUCGCGUCGGCUGUGAAAACCCGGAGCUCAACUCCGGGCCUGCAGUCGAUACGGGCAGACUGGAGUUCGGCAGGGGAGACUGGAAUUCUUGGUGUAGCAGUGAAAUGCGUAGAUAUCAAGAGGAACACCAGUGGCGAAGGCGAGUCCCCUGGACAACUUCUGACGCUGAGGCACGAAAGCUAGGGGAGCAAACAGG
rnacentral:rRNA from 1 species